rnacentral:piRNA from 1 species
UUCUUUAUGGUUCAUAUUGAGCAAAUGGG